CGGAGAGGCGGGAGCGUCGAGUCAGAGGCGCAGAGGCUGCAGCGGCCAGGAGCGACCCCCGCCCCCUCCCCGCUCGCCCUGGGCUAUGUGUGGCUUUUGUGGAAAGCAGAUUCAACAUAUCGAAGGGAAAUAAAAAUGGAAUCGGCAGCUUCGACUACGGCAUCUUCCAGAUCUACAGGCAUUUCUGCUGCAAGGAUUACUGGAGUCACUCAGAAAACAUUUGCCACGAGGACUGUCAAGGGUAGCAUGGAGGUUGCACUGUGCAGGCCGGCCACUCUCCUACUGGAUGACAGGAUGUUUCUUGGGAUGAGACAGGACACAGGGCUGCUGUAGAGUCAUUCCAGAGCUCCUCUUCUCACUCAGGAAUUCAUUUCUCCUUCCUCUUGCCUCCGCUUCACGUUAUUUUCUUUCCUUCCCAUUUACGAAUAAACCUGACCGGAUCCCCCAGGAAUAAAUGGUUGUCUCGGGCUUCCUCCUUGUACCUGUCUGGGCCCAGGCCUCUGGUUCUGACUCUCAUUUGCAAACCAAGAGGACCACAAUGAAGAAGUUGUUAUAUUUGGAUAAUUAUUAAAGCAUUCCUUGUGCAAA